UACGGAGGGUGCAAGCGUUGUCCGGAUUUAUUGGGUUUAAAGGGUGCGUAGGCGGCUUUUUAAGUCAGUGGUGAAAUACUGCAGCUCAACUGUUAGAACUGCCAUUGAUACUGGGAGCUUGAGUACAGACGAGGUAGGCGGAAUUGACAGUGUAGCGGUGGAAAUGCUUAGAUAUUGUCAAGAACACCUAUUGCGAAGGCGCUUACUAGACUGUAACUGACGCUGAGGCACGAAAGCGUGGGGAUCAAACAGG
rnacentral:rRNA from 1 species